rnacentral:rRNA from 1 species
UACGUAGGGGGCGAGCGUUGUCCGGAAUUAUUGGGCGUAAAGAGCUCGUAGCGGCUUGGCAAGUCGGAUGUGAAAACUCCAGGCUCAACCUGGAGCCGCCAUUCGAUACUGCUAUGGCUAGAGUCCGGUAGGGGAGUGUGGAAUUCCCGGUGUAGCGGUGAAAUGCGCAGAUAUCGGGAGGAACACCGAUGGCGAAGGCAGCACUCUGGGCCGGCACUGACGCUGAGGAGCGAAAGCGUGGGGAGCGAACAGG